rnacentral:rRNA from 1 species
UAGGGAAUCUUCGGCAAUGGGGGCAACCCUGACCGAGCAACGCCGCGUGAGUGAAGAAGGUUUUCGGAUCGUAAAGCUCUGUUGUAAGUCAAGAACGAGUGUGAGAGUGGAAAGUUCACACUGUGACGGUAGCUUACCAGAAAGGGACGGCUAACUACGUGCCAGCAGCCGCGGUAAUACGUAGGUCCCGAGCGUUGUCCGGAUUUAUUGGGCGUAAAGCGAGCGCAGGCGGUUUGAUAAGUCUGAAGUUAAAGGCUGUGGCUCAACCAUAGUUCGCUUUGGAAACUGUCAAACUUGAGUGCAGAAGGGGAGAGUGGAAUUCCAUGUGUAGCGGUGAAAUGCGUAGAUAUAUGGAGGAACACCGGUGGCGAAAGCGGCUCUCUGGUCUGUAACUGACGCUGAGGCUCGAAAGCGUGGGGAGCGAACAGGAUUAGAUACCCUGGUAGUCCACGCCGUAAACGAUGAGUGCUAGGUGUUGGAUCCUUUCCGGGAUUCANCGUCGCAGCUAACGCAUUAAGCACUCCGCCUGGGGAGUACGACCGCAAGGUU